rnacentral:rRNA from 1 species
UACAGAGGGUGCAAGCGUUGUUCGGAAUUACUGGGCGUAAAGGGCGCGUAGGCGGCCUUCUAAGUCGAACGUGAAAUCCCCGGGCUCAACCCGGGAACUGCGUCCGAGACUGAAAGGCUCGAAUCCGGGAGAGGGAUGUGGAAUUCCAGGUGUAGCGGUGAAAUGCGUAGAUAUCUGGAGGAACAUCGGUGGCGAAGGCGGCAUCCUGGACCGGUAUUGACGCUGAGGCGCGAAAGCCAGGGGAGCAAACGGG